GAUGAAGAACGCAGUGAAAUGCGAUAAGUAAUGUGAAUUGCAGAGUUCAGUGAAUCAUCGAAUCUUUGAACGCACAUUGCGCCCGUCAGUAUUCCGACGGGCAUGCCUGUCCGAGCGUCAUUUCAACCCUCAAGCACUGCUUGGCGUUGGCGGAUUGCGUGCCCUCGCGGCGCUGCAACCGCCCAAAUACAGUGGCGGUCCCGCUGCGGCUCCCUUUGCGUAGUAACUCACCUCGCACUGGACCGGGCGGCGGCCUGCCGUAAAACCCCAACUCACGAAAUGUUGACCUCGGAUCAGGUAGGAAUACCCGCUGAACUUAAGCAUAUCAAUAAGCGGAGGA
rnacentral:misc_RNA from 1 species